rnacentral:rRNA from 1 species
GACAGAGGCCUCGAGCGUUAGGCGGAAUCACUGGGCUUAAAGCGUGUGUAGGCGGACCCCUAAGUACCUUGUGAAAUCCCACGGCUCACCCGUGGAACCGCUGGGUAUACUGGGGGUCUUGGGCCACUCAGGGGCGACUGGAACAAGCGGUGGAGCGGUGAAAUGCGUAGAUAUCGAGAGGAACACCUGCGGCGAAGGCGGGUAGCGUGGGCCGACACGUGACGCUGAUGCGCGAAAGCCAGGGGAGCGAACGGG